UCAAGUGACUAAGCGUACACGGUGGAUGCCUUGGCAGUCAGAGGCGAUGAAGGACGUGGUAAUCUGCGAUAAGCUUUGGGGAGCCGAUAAACAGGCCUUGAUCCAGAGAUUUCCGAAUGGGGAAACCCAACCGCAUAAGCGGUUAUUCUUUAGCUGAAUACAUAGGCUUUAGAAGGCGAACCCGGGGAACUGAAACAUCUAAGUACCCGGAGGAAAAGAAAUUAAUUGAGAUUCCCCUAGUAGCGGCGAGCGAACGGGGAUUAGCCCUUAAGCAAUUUGGGUGUUAGCGGAAGGCUCUGGAAAGUGCCGCCAUAGUGGGUGAUAGCCCCGUACGCGAAAAUGCCCUUAUUGUGAAAUCGAGUAGGUCGGGACACGAGAAAUCCUGACUGAACUGUCUUCGGACGAGGGGGGACCAUCCUCCAAGGCUAAAUACUCCUGACUGACCGAUAGUGAACCAGUACCGUGAGGGAAAGGCGAAAAGAACCCCGUUGAGGGGAGUGAAAUAGAACCUGAAUCCGUGUACGUACAAGCAGUGGGAGCAGACUUUGUUCUGUGACUGCGUACCUUUUGUAUAAUGGGUCAGCGACUUAAUUUCAGUGGCAAGGUUAACCGUAUAGGGGAGCCGUAGGGAAACCGAGUCUUAAUAGGGCGCCGUUCUUAGGAACAAAGAGUCGCUGGGAUUAGACCCGAAACCGGGCGAUCUAUCCAUGGGCAGGUUGAAGAUUGAGUAACAUCAAUUGGAGGACCGAACCGACUAUCGUUGAAAAGCUAGCGGAUGACUUGUGGAUAGGAGUGAAAGGCUAAUCAAGCCCGGAGAUAGCUGGUUCUCCUCGAAAGCUAUUUAGGUAGCGCCUCGUGUAUCACCAUUGGGGGUAGAGCACUGUUUGGGCUAGGGGGUCAUCCCGACUUACCAACCCCAUGCAAACUCCGAAUACCAAUGAGUGCAAUCACGGGAGACACACGGCGGGUGCUAACGUCCGUCGUGGAAAGGGAAACAACCCAGACCGUCAGCUAAGGUCCCAAAGUUCUAGUUAAGUGGGAAACGAUGUGAGAAGGCCCAGACAGCCAGGAGGUUGGCUUAGAAGCAGCCACCCUUUAAAGAAAGCGUAAUAGCUCACUGGUCGAGUCGGCUCGCGCGGAAGAUUUAACGGGGCUCAAACUAGACACCGAAGCUACGGGUUUCAGUGGUCAGUUUUCAGUUGUUAGUUAGCAGUUUUGAGAGGCGAAACAUGCAGGGUUUUGAACAGUUAGAGGUAUUCCAACGUGCUUAUAAGCUUUCAUUGAAAGUUCAUAAGUUGAGUUUGGAAUUUCCAAAGAUUGAACAAAUGCAUGGACUUGCUGAUCAAAUGCGCAGAUGCAGUAAAGGUAUCUGUGCAAAUAUUGCUGAAGGACAUGGAAAACUGAUUAUCUCAAAAGCAGAAUUUCGAAGGUUCUUAUUAAUGGCCAUCGGAUCUUCUGAUGAAAUGAGAGUUUGGUUAAGGUAUUGCCUUGAUCUCAAUUAUCUUGAGAAACAAGAAUGGGAAUAUUUAAAAACUGAAUACAGUCAGGUAAGUAAAAUGUUGGUUGGUUUGCACAAGAGUUUCCAAUAACUCUGAGCAAAACUGACAACCAACAACUGAAAACUGACCACUGAAGCGGUAGAGGAGCGUUCUGUAAGCCGUUGAAGGUGUAUCGGGAGGUAUGCUGGAGGUAUCAGAAGUGCGAAUGCUGACAUGAGUAACGACAAGGGGAGUGAGAAGCUCCCCCGCCGGAAGACCAAGGGUUCCUGCGCAACGUUAAUCGGCGCAGGGUGAGUCGGCCCCUAAGGUGAGGUCGAAAGACGUAAUCGAUGGGAAACAGGUCAAUAUUCCUGUACCCCUUUUGACUGCGACGGAGUGACGGAGAAGGCUAGGUCAGCGCGGCGUUGGUUGUCCGCGUUUAAGAUCGUAGGCUGGGGACCCAGGCAAAUCCGGGUCCUCAAGGCCGAGAAUUGAUGACGAGGUUCUACGGAACCGAAGUGAUUGAUGCCAUGCUUCCAGGAAAAACUUCUAAGCUUCAGGUCAAAAGGGACCGUACCCCAAACCGACACAGGUGGUCAGGUAGAGAAUACCAAGGCGCUUGAGAGAACUCGGGUGAAGGAACUAGGCAAAAUGGCACCGUAACUUCGGGAGAAGGUGCGCCGGCUUUGGUGAUCGGACUUGCUCCGUAAGCUGAGGCUGGUCGAAGAUACCAGGUGGCUGCGACUGUUUAUUAAAAACACAGCACUGUGCAAACACGAAAGUGGACGUAUACGGUGUGACGCCUGCCCGGUGCUCGAAGGUUAAUUGAUGGGGUUAUCCCUCUUUUAGGAGAGUGGAGAAGCUCUUGAUCGAAGCCCGAGUAAACGGCGGCCGUAACUAUAACGGUCCUAAGGUAGCGAAAUUCCUUGUCGGGUAAGUUCCGACCUGCACGAAUGGCGUAACGAUGGCCACGCUGUCUCCACCCGAGACUCAGUGAAAUUGAAAUCGCUGUUAAGAUGCAGCGUAUCCGCGGCUAGACGGAAAGACCCCGUGAACCUUUACUAUAGCUUCACAGUGGAUUUUGAUGUUGCUUGUGUAGGAUAGGUGGGAGGCUUUGAAGCGAGGACGCUAGUUCUUGUGGAGCCAAUCUUGAAAUACCACCCUGGCAAUAUUGRRGUUCUAACCCAGGUCCUGAAACGGGAUCGGGGACAUUGUGUGGUGGGUAGUUUGACUGGGGCGGUCUCCUCCCAAAGAGUAACGGAGGAGCACGAAGGUUGGCUAAGUACGGUCGGACAUCGUACGGUUAGUGUAAUGGCACAAGCCAGCUUGACUGCGAGAGGUACAUCUCGAGCAGGUACGAAAGUAGGUCAUAGUGAUCCGGUGGUUCUGAAUGGAAGGGCCAUCGCUCAACGGAUAAAAGGUACUCCGGGGAUAACAGGCUGAUACCGCCCAAGAGUUCACAUCGACGGCGGUGUUUGGCACCUCGAUGUCGGCUCAUCACAUCCUGGGGCUGAAGCCGGUCCCAAGGGUAUGGCUGUUCGCCAUUUAAAGUGGUACGCGAGCUGGGUUUAGAACGUCGUGAGACAGUUCGGUCCCUAUCUGCCGUGGACGUUGGAAGUUUGAGAAGAGCUGCUCCUAGUACGAGAGGACCGGAGUGGACGGACCACUGGUGUUCGGGUUGUGUCGCCAGACGCAUUGCCCGGUAGCUAUGUUCGGAMGGGAUAACCGCUGAAAGCAUCUAAGCGGGAAGCCCCCUUCAAGAUGAGACUUCCCUGGGCACUAGAUGCCCCUGAAGAGCCGUUAAAGACUAUGACGUUGAUAGGUUGGGUGUGUAAGUGCUGUGAGGCAUUGAGCUAACCAAUACUAAUGACUCGUGCGGCUUGACCAU
rnacentral:rRNA from 1 species